UUCGGCCCGAGUUGUAAUUUGCAGAGGAUGUUUAUGGUGCGGUACCUUCCGAGUUCCCUGGAACGGGACGCCACAGAGGGUGAGAGCCCCGUCUGGUUGGAUACCAAACCUGUGUUAAACUCCUUCAACGAGUCGAGUAGUUUGGGAAUGCUGCUCUAAAUGGGAGGUAAAUCUCUUCUAAAGCUAAAUACUGGCCAGAGACCGAUAGCGCACAAGUAGAGUGAUCGAAAGAUGAAAAGCACCUUGAAAAGGGGGUUAAACAGUACGUGAAAUUGUUGAAAGGGAAGCGUUUAUGACCAGACUUGUGUCGUGUGGCUCAUCCGAGGUUCUCCCCGGUGCACUCCACACGGCUCAGGCCAACAUCGGUUCUUGUUGGAGGAUAAGAAUAGUAGGAACGUAGCUCUCCUUCGGGGGAGUGUUAUAGCCUAUUGUACGAUACUCUGACGGGGACCGAGGACCGCGCUUCGGCUAGGAUGUUGGCGUAAUGGUCAUUAGCGACCCGUCUUGAAACACGGACCAAGGAGUCGUCCAUUAGAGCGAGCGUUUGGGUGUAAAACCCGCACGCGUAAUGAAAGUGAAAUUAGGUGAGAGCUUCGGCGCAUCAUCGACCGAUCCUGAAGUUUACGGAUGGAUUUGAGUAAGAGUUUUAACGGACGGACCCGAAAGACAGUGAACUAUGCUUGAAUAGGGUGAAGCCAGAGGAAACUCUGGUGGAGGCUCGCAGCGGUUCUGACGUGCAAAUCGAUCGUCAAAUUUGAGCAUGGGGGCGAAAGACUAAUCGAA
rnacentral:rRNA from 1 species